AAUUCUCAAAUCGCAAACUUGUUUUGUAGAAUUUGGAUAGUUGGGUAUGUGCCUGUUGUAAUAGGCUGGCUUACCUUAAAUAUAUAAGUGGUUAGUUCAGAAACUUGUUGGGUGUUGUAAAUAUAUUUUAAUACAUCUAUUUUUCUGAAUAUACUGCAAGAAUUGUGUAUUUAUGAUGA
rnacentral:misc_RNA from 1 species